rnacentral:rRNA from 1 species
AGCUCCAAUAGCGUUUAUUAAAGUUCUUGCAGUUAAAAAACUUGUGCUUGGAUUUCUGGCUGGGUAUAUGGGUCCACUCAUAUGAGUGUACUCCAUACAUGUCUGACCAUUCUUUGGGAGAGUCGAAGUGACAUUAAGUUGUUGAUGUGGGAAUCCCAAUCCUUUACUAUGAAGAAAUUAUAGUUUUCAAAGCAGGCUUACACCGUUGAAUAUAUUAGCUUGGAAUAAUAAAAUAGGAUUAUUGUACUAUUUUGUUAGUUUUUGCACCAUAGAACUGAUUAAUAGGGACAGUUGGGGGUAUUUGUAUUCCAUUGUCAGGGAUGGAAUUCUUUGAUUUUUGGAAGAUAAACUACUGCAAAAGCAUUUACCAAAGAUUUUUUCA